CUUUGACCCUGCCCUUGAUAAAACACAGUGGACCAACACCAGCAGCUGACAUGGCUCCCCAGACCAUCACUGGCUGUGGGUAUUAGACACUGGAC